rnacentral:rRNA from 1 species
UAACCUGCCCUUAAGUGGGGGAUAACAUUUGGAAACAGAUGCUAAUACCGCAUAGAUCCAAGAACCGCAUGGUUCUUGGCUGAAAGAUGGCGUAAGCUAUCGCUUUUGGAUGGACCCGCGGCGUAUUAGCUAGUUGGUGAGGUAAUGGCUCACCAAGGCGAUGAUACGUAGCCGAACUGAGAGGUUGAUCGGCCACAUUGGGACUGAGACACGGCCCAAACUCCUACGGGAGGCAGCAGUAGGGAAUCUUCCACAAUGGACGCAAGUCUGAUGGAGCAACGCCGCGUGAGUGAAGAAGGCUUUCGGGUCGUAAAACUCUGUUGUUGGAGAAGAAUGGUCGGCAGAGUAACUGUUGUCGGCGUGACGGUAUCCAACCAGAAAGCCACGGCUAACUACGUGCCAGCAGCCGCGGUAAUACGUAGGUGGCAAGCGUUAUCCGGAUUUAUUGGGCGUAAAGCGAGCGCAGGCGGUUUUUUAAGUCUGAUGUGAAAGCCCUCGGCUUAACCGAGGAAGCGCAUCGGAAACUGGGAAACUUGAGUGCAGAAGAGGACAGUGGAACUCCAUGUGUAGCGGUGAAAUGCGUAGAUAUAUGGAAGAACACCAGUGGCGAAGGCGGCUGUCUGGUCUGUAACUGACGCUGAGGCUCGAAAGCAUGGGUAGCGAACAGGAUUAGAUACCCUGGUAGUCCAUGCCGUAAACGAUGAAUGCUAGGUGUUGGAGGGUUUCCGCCCUUCAGUGCCGCAGCUAACGCAUUAAGCAUUCCGCCUGGGGAGUACGACCGCAAGGUUGAAACUCAAAGGAAUUGACGGGGGCCCGCACAAGCGGUGGAGCAUGUGGUUUAAUUCGAAGCAACGCGAAGAACCUUACCAGGUC